UAUUCCUACGGGAGGCAGCAGUAGGGAAUNUUCCACAAUGGACGAAAGNNGAUGGAGCAACGCCGCNUGAGUGAAGRAGGGUUUCGGCUCUWAAAMUUUGUUGUUAAAGAAGAACAUAUCUGAGAGUAACUGUUCAGGUAUUGMCGGUAUUUAACCAGAAAGCCACGGCUAACUACGUGCCAGCAGCCGCGGUAAUACGUAGGUGGCAAGCGUUGUCCGGAUUUAUUGGGCGUAAAGCGAGCGCAGGCGGUUUUUUAAGUCUGAUGUGAAAGCCUUCGGCUCAACCGAAGAAGUGCAUCGGAAACUGGGAAACUUGAGUGCAGAAGAGGACAGUGGAACUCCAUGUGUAGCGGUGAAAUGCGUAGAUAUAUGGAAGAACACCAGUGGCGAAGGCGGCUGUCUGUGUCUGUAACUGACGCUGAGGCUCGAAAGUAUGGGUAGCAAACAGGAUUAGAUACCCUGGUAGUCCAUACCGWMAACKAYGAAUGCUAAGUGUUGGAGGGUUUCCGCCCUUCANGNNNNNUGCUGCAGCUAACGCAUNNUAAGCAUUCCGCCUGGGGAGUACGGCCGCAAGGCUGAAACUCAAAGGAAUUGACGGGGGCCCGCACAAGCGGUGGAGCAUGUGGUUUAAUUCGAAGCUACGCGAAGAACCUUACCAGGUCUUGACAUACUAUGCAAAUCUAAGAGAUUAGACGUUCCCUUCGGGGACAUGGAUACAGGUGGUGCAUGGUUGUCGUCAGCUCGUGUCGUGAGAUGUUGGGUUAAGUCCCGCAACGAGCGCAACCCUUAUUAUCAGUUGCCAGCAUUAAGUUGGGNCACUCUGGUGAGACUGCCGGUGACAAACCGGAGGAAGGUGGGGAUGACGUCAAAUCAUCAUGCCCCUUAUGACCUGGGCUACACACGUGCUACAAUGGAUGGUACAACGAGUUGCGAACUCGCGAGAGUAAGCUAAUCUCUUAAAGCCAUUCUCAGUUCGGAUUGUAGGCUGCANCUCGCCUACAUGAAAGUCGGAAUCGCUAGUAAUCNNGGAUCNNNUGCCGCGGUGAAUACGUUCCCGGGCCUUGUACACACCGCCCGUCACACCAUGAGAGUUUGUACACCCAAAGUCGGUGGGGUAACCUUUUAGGAACCNNCCCGNCUUAAGGUGGGNACANAUGAUUAGGGUGAAGUCGUUACCAAGGGUA
rnacentral:rRNA from 1 species